GACGAACGCUGGCGGCGUGCUUAACACAUGCAAGUCGAACGGAAAGGCCUGCUUUCCCUUGUGGAUUGCGGGUACUCGAGUGGCGAACGGGUGAGUAACACGUGAGUGAUCUGCCCCCAACUUGGGUAUAAGCCUGGGAAACUGGGUCUAAUUCCCGAUAGGACUGCAGGGUGGUGCCUGUGGUGGAAAACGAUUUUCUAGUGGUUGGGGAUGAGCUCGCGGCCUAUCAGCUUGUUGGUGGGGUAAUGGCCUACCAAGGCGGCGACGGGUAGCCGGCCUGGGAGGGUGGACGGCCACAUUGGGACUGAGAUACGGCCCAGACUCCUACGGGAGGCAGCAGUGGGGAAUAUUGCACAAUGGGCGGAAGCCUGAUGCAGCGACGCCGCGUGGGGGAUGACGGCCUUCGGGUUGUAAACUCCUUUCGACCGCGAGGAAGCCACCUGGUUGGAAGGGUGGUGACGGUAGUGGUAGAAGAAGCUCCGGCUAACUACGUG
rnacentral:rRNA from 1 species